ACGACCGCUCUUCCAUCAUCUGAGAUCUUACCGCUCCAAUUCAGUAUGCAGUUUUCUGACCUGAUCGGAGGUCCAAUAACUUACCAGAUCGAGUGUCCAUGUAUGGGAAUGGAUCAUAGCAUGUUGACAGUUCAUAGGAGCGCAUCUAUCUUUCUAUCAGCAACUCGAUAGAGGGCCGCCAUUCACAGUUGAAGUUGUGUUAUACCUGGUGGUGGUUCAGAACUGUUAAAUGAACGCAUAUGGAAUGCCUAUGCUAGACCGCAGGUAUAUGUUCCCCUUGAAGGGGAACACAUUUACUACUUCCCCAAGGACAUAUGUGGUGCUUUUCAAAAUGGCAAACUUGCAGAUAGCAUAAAACCCAUCUCUCAAAAUUAAUUCCAAGUCAUCUUGUAUUGUUUUAUUAUGCAGUUGUUGUGUUCCAAUUUAAGCAUUUAACUGUAUAUAAAAUGAAAGCAACUUGUUA